AACAGCUGGAUUAUAGCGAUGAAGAGAUCUGCGAGUGGCAGUGGGACAAUUAGAGACGGAAGGAGGCUUGGAAUGUGAUCGUGUUCCCAACAAAUGUUACUGACGUAGUAUGCUUCGUAGUUUUGCUCACGUGGAAUACGUAACCAAUGGAAAAACCUAGGCCAUGUGGUUGUAAAGGGAUCAGAACUUGCUUAAUAUGUGAGAGAGAAUUUGGAAUUCCUAAGAAGGAUUUUAAACCCCCCAAGGGCUGCAAAAGCUACAUAUACUGUGCUUUCUGUAACAAAGCAUGGGAAGGCUCAUGUAUGAAAGACUACAAAACUCAUUCAGCGCAUGAAGGAGAUGCUAUUGAAUUCCCAGGAAUAUAUAUACAGCUUGAUUUCUUGACACCAGAAGAAGAAGCAAUUUUAAUUAAUGGCAUUGAUGAAAUGCCAUGGGAUUUAUCUCAGAGUGGCCGUAGAAAGCAGAAUUUUGGACCAAAGUGUAAUUUUAAGAAGAAGCGUCUGCAGUUGAGUGAGUUUAAUGGUUUCCCAGAAUUCACAAAGUUUGUGCAAGAGCGUUUUGAGACUGUACCAUUAUUAUCAGGGUAUAAAACAAUUGAACAGUGCUCCUUGGAAUAUGAUCCAAUACGUGGUGCAUCAAUUGAUCCUCAUAUUGAUGACUGCUGGAUAUGGGGUGAGCGUAUUGUUACUGUUAAUCUUCUGUCAGACAGUAUGUUGACAUUCACAAAAUACAGAGGAGAUAUUAAGCGAUAUAAUUUGUGCUGCGCAUUUGAGUAUCGUCCAGUUGUCCUUGGUCCUCUAGACUGUUGUGAACAAGAAGAUUGUGUAGUUCGUGUACCCAUGCCAAGGCGAUCUCUCUUGGUGGUUUAUGGUCCAGCACGGUAUGGUUGGGAACACUGUGUUUUACGUGAAGACAUUUCAGAAAGAAGGGUGUGUAUUGCUUAUCGGGAGUUCACUCCACCAUAUCUUAAAGGUGGGCAACAUGAAGAGAAGGGAAGUGAAAUUUUGAAUGCUGCCAACAAUUUCUGGGACCAUAGGAUAAUGUCACAGGAAUCGUGAUCAUGGGCACAGAAGCUCUUACAUUUUACCUCCAAGAAGAGAGAAAAUUUAUACACAGAAAAAUGGAAAUGGGCCUAUCUUAAGGUGAUUCUGGAAUGAUUUACUGGCCUGAAAUAUGCAACACUGAAGUGCUUCACAACAUUGUUUUGUGGGGCAGUAAUAUGGUGUUAUAUAUUUAAUCCCGUCAGCACUGUACCACGGCUUUCAACUACCUCACUAGAGAAUAAAAUCACUUCUGGAAUUAGGAACGUGGCACAGAAACAGAAAGGAAGAGAAAAAGUUCUGCAUGACAACUCUUACUCUGUGGACAUCAAACCAAAUACCUACUAGCAUAGAUUCCUGGAGAACUUCAAAAUUUAAAAAUUUGCAUGACAAUGCUACUUUUAAUUAAUUAAGUCUACACUUAUCUACUAUUUAAACUUGCUUGUACUUUCCCAACAAAAAUCCAUCUUAAUUCCUAAUAUACUACCUAUGGUGUAUUUAUACAAGGAAAGAGACACACACAGAACUAGAAACAAGGAACCCUCGAGCAAUUAUAAUAUACACAUGCUGCCACUUGCUGUUGACAGUGUUGGUAAUGAAAGUAGCACCUCUGCCAGUCCCAUUUGUGGUGCCACUUGUACAGAUGUCAGAUGUUUUGGCCUUUAUGGUGUGUGGUAAAGGACCCAUUCUUCUGGUUUGUCAGGAUGGCAUUAGACUCUUCCACUUCAACAUUGUGAACUGAAUGGGUUGGCAAAGGCAACAGGAAUCUGUCAUAGGACGGGCAGCAUUUAGGACAACUCAGCUAGAUCAGAUAAUAGUACAUGCUCUCGUGCAGUGACAGUGCUUGGCAUCAAACCACAUUUCUUCUUCAUAUUGGUGUUGCGGCAGUCGACACCCCUGAAGAUAAUGCAUUCUGCUAGGAAACAGCAUGAUUGCCAGGCACUGAGUGGUGUCAGCAACAAACAGCUGGUGCCAGUGCUACAUUCCUACAACCUAGGACAAUUGUGCUUGGUGUAUAACCAUAGAUUGUGGCGUGGAGGUGGGAUGGUGCAGAAACCUGAAUUCUGGACUUCGGCAUUUGCAGGCCGAUGAUGACAACAGCUGUUCAGUGGGUGCUGGAGCGUCUUGCAGUACAGAUACCACCUGGCUACAGUCGCCCAAUGAUUUCUUUGAUGUAUAUAAAUGAUGUCCUGGUGACUGCUUUGGCUGUCUGGCAGUGGAGGCAUCCACCAAUGAUUGUUGCAGUGCUACAUCAAUGCGUCAUGAGCAUCUUGUCACACUGUGACGUAGCAUGUGGAAUGUUUUGGAAAUCAGCUGUGUCAUCAACCACAUGCUUCAGGGUGGUAAGUGGAACUCUGUGUCCUGAAUUUCCUUGGCUUCGCAGUCCUCCAUCCUUACCACAACACGGUAUAUAAAGAUAUCGCAAAUGCUUAUGAUAGUGUCCUUAUGCCCCCUAUUGGUGAAUAAGUUGAAAAAUCAUGACACUCCAUCAUAAUUCAUCCACUAGUGACCCCCUGUCUGUUGAUAGACAGAAGCAUGAGCAUCAUAAGGAACAGUGAAGCAGCAGGGCCAAGGAGAACAAGUAAAGGGUUAUCGCAAGCCUUUGGUGUUGUCACCAUGUUAUUAAAUCUAGGUGCAUCGGCCCUAAUUUUCAGUGUUAACCCCAAGUGUUUGAGUAUCAUAUUGUGUAGCUGAAUUAUGUGUUUAUAAAUGAAGGGUUAGUUUUAUUGAGUCAGCAGCAGAUGAAUAAUGCCAUGAUAAUGUUUAAUGAGUGGCUGACUAAUAACUAACUUGACAACUUCCUCAUAAAUCAACUCUCUCUCUCUCUCUCUCUCUCUCUCUCUCUCUCUCUCUCUCUCUCUCUGUGUGUGUGUGUGUGUGUGUGUGUGUGUGUGUGUGUGUGUGUGUGUGUGUGUUUACACCAGACAAAGGUUUAACUAAAAGGGUGGCCAUGUACUUAGGGCUUUGCAUUAGUCAUAAGCUAAAGUGGUCACAUUACAUAAGUACAUAAUUAAAUAAUGUGAAGGUGCCACAAAUAUCCUCAUGCUGUGACAGGCUUUUGUUGGAUGCAGACCUGCGAAUUUUCAUUGACAUAUACAUGAUCUAAUAAGACUUUAUGUGGAGUAUGGAUGCAUCUGAUAUGGAUCAGCAACACAAAGUAGCCUAGAAAAAUGAGAUAAGUGACAGUACAAAGCCAUCAGAAUCUGUUUUGGAGCAUUCAAAUCUACUCUAAUACUUUGCUGGUGGAACCAAAUGAAAUGCUGUUAGAGCUAUGCAGGAAAUACAUCAGUGCCAAAUUCCUGUUCGAACUUUUUCACUUCUUACAUGACAGUUUACUAACAAAGGUUAGAGAACUCACAACUAAGUGGUAUGCAGACAGGUCUUGGCAUAACAAGAAACUACAGCCCUUGCCAAAUUUUUAGAGACACGCCUUUUCUUUGUGUGAAUGCGUCAUCACUUUGACAAAUUUGAGCUGCUUCAGCGCACCCUAUACUAACAUAUUCCAUACACCCAAGGUGUAAUGAAUGAGAAAAUUUUAGCUGUCAGAUUGUUUAGCAACAUAGCCAUCCACAAGACAGAUUUACAGUGGUGAGUCUAAACACAGACAGAGCAGGGAAUGCAUUCAUAAUGGCAAAACUGAUCAAGGGAGGAAAUUCUAGCUCCCUGAGGUAGUGUCUAUACUCACUGCAGAAUUUGCAGCAAUCUUAGAGGGACUUAAAUAAAAGAAAAAAUAGUUGUAUAAGAAUCAAUUAUUAUUUUAUCAGAUUCACUCUCAAAAUUGUUGCUGUUAAAAUUCUACAGUGCUAACAAUACCUAAAAUUACCUAGUAUUGCUACAAUGCUGACAAUACCUAAAAUCAUCUAGUAUUGCAGUCUGUCAAGCACUUAAGUGUGGAAUGCAACAGAGUCAUAUAGAUGUAGAAACAACAUCGUAGAAGCAACUGAGGAGUGUUCUACCUAGAUAAUAGUAUCAUUGUGUUCUGGAUGAAGGUGCACAGCAGAAUAAAGGGAAAUGAAGGUGUAGCUACCCUGGCCAAGGAAGCUGUGUGCACUGGCUUAGUGAAAAGCAGUAUAGCGCCAGCUCCUACAAAAGGAUUAGCAACACAGCCCGAUGGAAUGCAGAUAUUAUUGAAUUGAAAGGCGAUACUAUGCCACAGUGGUACCUACUCCACCACGUCCUGGGCAACAUAGAAAGGCAAAUACAGCUGAAACUUUACAGCGACAGUAGCAUGUCUUCAAUUUAAUCACUGUAGAUUCCAACAUCAUAUCUACUGCCUCGACAUGGACCCAAUUUCUUCAAGUGAAUGCCACAGUGAGGAAGAUGUUAACUAAAAUUUCUUCUGUUGUGACAUAUCAAGAAACUAUGAUCCCAAUGCAGCAUCUGAUGCCCUCUGACAAUAAAGUACCAGCAAACAUUCAAGCUCUUUUAGUGACAGAAGACAUAAAAGUGUGUCAAUUAUUUUGUGAUUUUAUAGCAGAUGGACAAAUAAAAAUAGAGGAAAUUGAUUUUUUGUUACAAUGUAAUAUAGUAAUGGAUAAAUAUGAUUUGUGUUGUUAACUUGCCUUUCAUGCUAAUGAAAUUUUCUUUGAUCAUGGAUACAAUUUCAGUUUCAGUGAAUUUAAUUGAUAAUUGUCAUUUUUUAAUGAUUUCAGGCUGUUACACACUUAAAUGUUAAAAAUUUUUUGGAGGCUGGCUGUAUGGGUGUAUCCAAAACCCAUUGAUAAAUUUUAAAUAAUGUACUAAAAAAGACAAUUUAUUGACUAAAACCUUUGCAAAAACUUUGCAGAAUGUUUUUAAGACUCAUAUAAUACCUAGUGAGGAGUCUUCUUAAUCUCGGGACAUCUGUAACGUAUUUAGAUCUU